GGCGAUUUGAGUCAUCAUAGCAACAACGCGUUCAAAGUGCAACAAAAAAAGAACUUAGCAGCAACUUGUUCAAGGUGGUAUUUUUAAGGGGCUAACUUGUGGUGUCCCUGUUUCUUUGGCAGUGGGAGCGUCUGUUCACCCUGCAGGGAAGUCCAGGAACUCCUCGCCGAGGAGACGCCGCUGGGGGAGGUGGACUCCAGCCCUCCUCUUUCUCCUCUUCCCCCCUCUCCUCCUCUUCUCUUU